rnacentral:rRNA from 1 species
UGGGGAAUAUUGGACAAUGGGCGAAAGCCUGAUCCAGCCAUGCCGCGUGUGUGAAGAAGGUCUUCGGAUUGUAAAGCACUUUAAGUUGGGAGGAAGGGCAUUAACCUAAUACGUUAGUGUUUUGACGUUACCGACAGAAUAAGCACCGGCUAACUCUGUGCCAGCAGCCGCGGUAAUACAGAGGGUGCAAGCGUUAAUCGGAAUUACUGGGCGUAAAGCGCGCGUAGGUGGUUUGUUAAGUUGGAUGUGAAAUCCCCGGGCUCAACCUGGGAACUGCAUUCAAAACUGACUGACUAGAGUAUGGUAGAGGGUGGUGGAAUUUCCUGUGUAGCGGUGAAAUGCGUAGAUAUAGGAAGGAACACCAGUGGCGAAGGCGACCACCUGGACUAAUACUGACACUGAGAGACGAAAGCUAGGGGAGCGAAUG